CUUGGUCAUCCCGAAUGCCGCCUAACGGUGUUUGAGUUCAGCGGCAAUACCCGGGCGAACGCCCGGGUAUUGUCCGCUGCAACGAGGGGUUAGGCGUCACGUCACUAUCGUUCCCGCUGGUUCCUGCGUCGACGGCAGGCGCUAGACCUUGUCCGAGCGCCUUGCUUCCAGUUGAGCUCGCCGCAAUGAGCAGCGCAUCAACACCUCGAGCGCCUUCUCAUAUGUGAGCACCGGUGGCCUGUCGGCCAAUGAAUAGACGAGGACUUGGAGAUUGCUGGUGUCGCUGUAGCUGUAGUCGGGAGAAUAUGGGCGUUCACCGGCGAUGUACGAAGCGGCGUCUUGGAAGAAAGCCGAUGGUGUCUCGGUUUCCUGGAGGUCGAACCCGAUGAAUACGAGUGGCGUCAGAACCGGGAUAACUGCGUC
rnacentral:misc_RNA from 1 species